rnacentral:SRP_RNA from 1 species
ACUGGAUGUGGUGGGGCACUUCUGUAGUCACUACUAAUGGGAGGCUGAGGCUGGUAAAUUGAUUGAGUUCAGGAGUUCUGAGCUAUAGUAGGGCUAAUGUUGAUCAAGUGUCCACACUGAAUCCAGAACCAAUGUGGUGAGCCCUGGGAUGCAGAGAACCACCAGCAGGCCUACAGAGGGGUACAUCAUCCCUUGUUGGAAAAACAGAGCAGGUUAAAGCUUCUGUGCUGAUCUGUAGUGGGACUGGGCCCUUGAGUGAUGGCCACACUUAUAGCCCAUGAGAGAUAGGGAGAUCCAGGCUCAA